GUCAUACUACGGUGCAUCGUGGUGGAAAGUAAACGAUGACCCCCAGGGAACUCUGGGGUAAAAUACGUAUCAAAUUGCAAAAUCAAUCCUGCCCUGGGGCGACCCCGGGCCGGGUUUCUUU
rfam:Erwinia sp. Leaf53 contig_1, whole genome shotgun sequence.